GAUGAACGCUGGCGGCGUGCCUAAUACAUGCAAGUCGAGCGAACGGACGAGAAGCUUGCUCCUCUGAUGUUAGCGGCGGACGGGUGAGUAACACGUGGAUAACCUACCUAUAAGACUGGGAUAACUUCGGGAAACCGGAGCUAAUACCGGAUAAUAUUUUGAACCGCAUGGUUCAAUAGUGAAAGACGGUCUUGCUGUCACUUAUAGAUGGAUCCGCGCCGCAUUAGCUAGUUGGUAAGGUAACGGCUUACCAAGGCAACGAUGCAUAGCCGACCUGAGAGGGUGAUCGGCCACACUGGAACUGAGACACGGUCCAGACUCCUACGGGAGGCAGCAGUAGGGAAUCUUCCGCAAUGGGCGAAAGCCUGACGGAGCAACGCCGCGUGAGUGAUGAAGGUCUUCGGAUCGUAAAACUCUGUUAUUAGGGAAGAACAUAUGUGUAAGUAACUGUGCACAUCUUGACGGUACCUAAUCAGAAAGCCACGGCUAACUACGUG
rnacentral:rRNA from 1 species